AAGUUUCGCUUCUGUUUCUCAUCACCUUCCCAGGUUGUUCUGUCCCCUGGAGAGGAGAGAGGAUGUGGGAAAGGGUCCUGGCCUCAAACUAAAAGCUCUGCAGGCUAGAGCCCCUCGCUUAUCUGCCUUGGGACCUAUCACUCCAGCAUUUGACACUCAUUCACAUAGAGAGCAGGGCUUCCCUGGUGACUCAGGCAGCAAAGAAUCUGCCAGCAAUGCAGGAGACCCAGGUUCAAUCUCUGUGUCAGGAAGAACCCCUGGAGAAGGGAAUGGCUACCCACUCCAGUAUUCUCAUCUGGGGAACUCCAUGGACAGAGGAGCCAGAUGGUCUACAGUCCAUGGGGUUGCAAAGAGUCGUACGGGACUGAGCG
rnacentral:lncRNA from 1 species